CAGGACACUCUGGGAAGAGCAAAUGGUUGGGCACUUGUCAGCGAGCCUCAGGCCACAUUGCCUGAACUUUGUCACGUGAGGGAUGAGAAAGAAAGUCAUCGGUAGGAUUUGAUAGAAGGGCAGGGUGUCCCAGGGGGUGACCUUAGAAUCAUCAUUGCCAGGUUCCUGACGGAGGAGGUGCUUAAUGUCCGUGAGCCUCAGUUUUCAGCAAGAUGGACACAUCACCUCCUGGGCUGGUGAGGGCUGCAUUAGGAAACUUCCAGACUCAAAAUACCCCACAACACAACUAAGGUCGGCUUGGAGAAGGUUCGGUUCACGACGGGCUAACUCCACGGCUCUCGGCUGGAGAGGAGGCAGACAUGAUGGAAGCCGAGGACAGCUGCGGAGGACAGCUGCUCGGCUACCGGGGGCCGGGAAGCAGGGGCAGGCGGAGAAGCCUGGGACAAGACAUGAUCCCCAGGACACACUCCCAGGGAACCCACCUGCCUACUAUACCACCCCAAGGGGGUGCACCUGUUUCUGAGCCCAGCACCUCAGGCAAGUUACAUCCUUCGACCCACCCAGGACCUGGACAAGGGCCCAGCGAAGAAGGCCACCAAGCCCAGCUGCCUGGCCCAGCAGCCUCUGUCAGAGAUGAGACCUCCAUUCGAUGCUGUGUGGCCUCAGGCAAGUUAUUUAACCUCUCUGGUGGUGGUUUCCUCUUCUAAGGAAAGAGAGAUGACCAGCUCCCAGCCCUCAGCCCUUACCUCACAGGGUGGCUGUUCCACCUAAUGGUCAACCUAAUGAUCUUCCUCGCCACAGAGGAAGGAGCCGCUGGGGAGAGGCAGGAGAGGCCGGAGAGGCCGGAGAGGCUGGUGGGUGAAGAUGGGGGGCACCUAGAAUAGGGUUCAACACACCCGCACCCGAGGGUGUAGGACGUCUUGCUGUAUCACCUGCUGGAUGGGCGGAGUGGCAGGGCUGGGUGAGAGCGGGAGCCCUGCACCAGCCCUGGCUCUGCCCCCGUUAAUUAUCCUCCACUUGGGCCGCAGCCUCCAACUUUACAACCCGCCCCCUCCCCACCCAGCGCUGCCCGUUCUCCAUUGCAGCCUCCAAAUCAGCCUCGAAGCACCUGCCUCCCUUGGUCCUGACUGGUUCUUCUGUCCCCUGAGGGAGCCGAGGCCAGUCUCUUAGGCCGGUGCUCACCUGUGUGACGCCUUCGCCUGCCCCGCCUCGCAGGCCCCUGGGUGGCCGCCUUGGGCUCAGGCCUGCGCUGGCCUCGCCGCGGGUCCUCAGUUCCCAUCUUCACCCACGGCCUCCCUGGCCUCUCCAGCCUCUCCCCAGCGCCUCCUUCCUCUGCAGCGAGGGCCUCGAUGGGCGCCGACCUGGACCGAGGCCCGGCCUGGAGUCCCCGCGCCCGGCUGAGCAUGACUGGCCCUGGGCCUCAGUUUCCCAAACCACCAAACGACCCUAAUGACCUGGGUCCUCGUGUCCCCCGGGACGGCGCUGCACCCUCACAUCCGGGGCCUUGGGCGCGCUGAGGGCACCCCAGGACAGCCUCGAGGCCCCCGCGGACUCUGCGCCUGUGGCCACCCGCCCGGCCUCCACAGCCCCUCUGGCCUUCGCAGGAGAGUCAGGCUGUGCCUCCAAAACACCGCGGCAAGCGGCAGGCGGCACGGAGGUCAGGGCGUGGUCAAGGCUCAGAUCUCGGUGGCUGUGUGCGGCCGGGGGAGGACCCACCCUAGCGGAAGACUCGGUUCCUCCUGUGUCCAAGGCAGUAAGGACACGGCCGCGUGAGGUCGUUGGAAAGGACCACCGCGAAGCUAAGAUCCGGUGCCCAGAGCGCUUGUCGCCAGGCUUGUUUACCCUUGGAGCCGAGGCACUUUCACCAUCCCCCACCAUCCCCGUAUUUUCAGAUGAAUUUGCAUUGGCACAGAGAGGGUAAGGAACUUUCCCGAGGUCACACAGUGAGUGAGACAGGGAAAGCCUGCCUGAACCCGGGCCCCUCAGGCCUCACAGCCCUCACAGGGGCCUGCUCCGGGCAUAGGCACUAGUGCCCACGCUCCCAGGAGCCCGUCUUCGGGGUCAGAGGGAUUGGGGUUUUCCGCUGCUGCCCCCAGCCCUGCUCCUGCAGCUGUCUGGUCCUGGGGCCUCCCAGUCCUCCUGCCCAGCCCUCCCCCGGUGCCCAGCCCCCGCAGGCCUGCAGGGAGCUCAGCAAUGGCUGGCGCCCAGCCCCGAGCCCCGGCUGGCACCCUGCAGCCACUUGGUUCCUGUGGAGCCACCGCACAGAAGCUGUCCCGCCCUCCGUCUGUCUGACACCCACAGCAGGGGACGGGCAGUGCUCUUGGCAGCGGGACAGAGGUGCCAGCUCUGGUGGCCCUGGCACCCAGGACGCUGCAGCUCCAGGACAGCCUGGGCGAGCCCGGGGCCAGGCUGUGGCCAGUCGCUUUCUGCCCAGAGAGCUGGCCGGGAGCCGCCCAGGCCGUGAGGCGCAGCCACGGGAGCCGGUGGCCCACAGUAGCUGGGUCCCCUCAGGGUGACGUCCGCGAGUGGCUGGCCUCACCGUGGGGCCUCCUCAUCUGUAGAAAGGGCACGUGCCAUGGCAGCUCCGAGGCGGCCGUGGGGCUCCGCUGACUCGGCCUGAGCGGGGACAGUGUGGAGCGGGACUCGGGGAAGGGAGCGUGCCGUGGGCAGCGUGUGUGGCCUUGGCCUCGCCUGCCCAGCGCUCCCAGGACGUAUCAGCAAGUGUCGGGUCACUGUCACUGCACAGCUGCAGGCCGCCGUCCAGCUUAGUGUCCCAUGGUGGCCAGCGCUGGCCCUCUGCGGCAGUCCUGCGGCUCUGGACGUGGCGGUGCCAGGGCAUGCCCAGGGCUGAGCUGCAGCAGGGCCACCCCGUGCCCACAGAAGGCGCAGGCUAGCUGCUGGCAGAGGCCUCGGUGCCCAGCCGUGGGAACCUCCCAUGGCUUCCCCCAGCGGGGACCUGGGAGUCCCUCACAACCAGCCUCGCUCCCCUGCUGCCACCACAGGCUCUGCCCAGUGCCCGGAGGCCAGGAUCUCAGGGGACCCUCUGGGAGGUCGGCUGUGCCUGCUGAGCUCAGGACGGGUAAGCAAGAAGGCCAUCGCCAGACGUGGCCGCUCCACCUCGGACAUCUGCACCUGGGAGCCAGAAUAAACCUCCUUUCUUCA